CCUACGGGGGGCGGCAGUGAGGAAUAUUGGUCAAUGGAGGCAACUCUGAACCAGCCAUGCCGCGUGCAGGAAGAAUGUCCUAUGGAUUGUAAACUGCUUUUGUACGGGAAGAAAAAGAACUACGAGUAGUUUAUUGACGGUACCGUAAGAAUAAGGAUCGGCUAACUCCGUGCCAGCAGCCCCGGUC
rnacentral:rRNA from 1 species